UACUUUGCUUUUGUGCUUUUCUUCUAGCUCUUCUUUCUCUUGAGCUCAAUGACGUCUUGAAUCCUUCGGAUUCGUCGUCAUCCCAAUCUCUGUACCUCUCGAAGCUCGGAGAAGCUAACGACGUAGAAAGUAACAGCAGCUGCGGCUACAAUUCCAAGCACGGGGAGGGCGACUUGCUGUAAUCCGUCCAUCCUUCACAAUUCUUUUUCACGUAUGCUUUUUUGUGGCUUCAAUGUGCUUAUACUUUACACCUUAUCCUUUCAUUUGAAAUAUUAAUAGCUAUUUAUCCUA